UACGUAGGGUGCAAGCGUUGUCCGGAAUCAUUGGGCGUAAAGCGCGCGUAGGUGGUCAUGUAAGUCCGCUGUGAAAGUCAAAGGCUCAACCUUUGAAAGCCGGUGGAUACUGCAUGACUAGAGUACGGAAGAGGCGAGUGGAAUUCCUGGUGUAGCGGUGGAAUGCGCAGAUAUCAGGAGGAACACCAAUAGCGAAGGCAGCUCGCUGGGACGUUACUGACGCUGAGGAGCGAAAGCGUGGGGAGCGAACAGG
rnacentral:rRNA from 1 species